ensembl:snRNA U6 U6 spliceosomal RNA
AUGCUCACUUUGGCAGCAUGUAUACUAAAACUGGAAUGAUACACAGAAGAUUAACAUGGCCCCUACGCAAGGAUGACAUGCAAAUUCGUGAAGCAUUCCAUAUUUUU